rnacentral:rRNA from 1 species
AUUGAACGCUGGCGGCAGGCCUAACACAUGCAAGUCGAGCGGAUGAGAAGAGCUUGCUCUUCGAUUCAGCGGCGGACGGGUGAGUAAUGCCUAGGAAUCUGCCUGGUAGUGGGGGACAACGUUUCGAAAGGAACGCUAAUACCGCAUACGUCCUACGGGAGAAAGCAGGGGACCUUCGGGCCUUGCGCUAUCAGAUGAGCCUAGGUCGGAUUAGCUAGUUGGUGAGGUAAUGGCUCACCAAGGCGACGAUCCGUAACUGGUCUGAGAGGAUGAUCAGUCACACUGGAACUGAGACACGGUCCAGACUCCUACGGGAGGCAGCAGUGGGGAAUAUUGGACAAUGGGCGAAAGCCUGAUCCAGCCAUGCCGCGUGUGUGAAGAAGGUCUUCGGAUUGUAAAGCACUUUAAGGUGGGAGGAAGGGCAGUAAACUAAUACGUUACUGUUUUGACGUUACCGCCAGAAUAAGCACCGGCUAACUCUGUGC